GCGUCUGUGGUUCAGGGGUAGAAUUGGUCGUUGCCAUCGACUAGGCCGGGGUUCGAGUCCCCGCGGACGCA